rnacentral:rRNA from 1 species
GGAGUGAUCCUUCUGUUAGGUGAACACUUGCCGAAGCCUUAGCAGCCCGAAAGGGUAGCCCUCCACGACUGAGUAAAUACAGAGAGGUGCUUUGAAUGCUAGUCAGUCUCGAACUGGCGACACUGCCAAAUUGCGGGAACACCCUAAAGACCUUGACACCAAGCACCAUCGGAAACGGUGGUGUGGCCGAGCUAAUUGCCCUGGGUAUGGUAACAGUUCAAGGUAUGAGACUCCCCCCGCCAGGGGGGAAAAGAAGUCGAAAUGGGCAAUCCGCAGCCAAGUCCUACAGCCUUCCUCUUGUCGGGGAGGCCACGGACGCUGUUCACAGGCCAAAUGGUAGUGGGUGAACCUACCGGGUUCGCUUAAGAUAUGGUCGGUCUCUGGGCGAAAGCCUAGGGGUAAGUUUCACUGAAACCCUCCACAACGUUCCGUAGGUGAACCUGCGGAAGGAUCAUUA